CUAUAUAAAUAAUAACAUAGUUUCGGAUAUAUUUACUUUUGCAGUCACUGACAGCUUUAUGCAAACAAAAAUGUAUGGGCAAUACAAACCGCACCUUUUUGCUUCAUUGUAAAAAGAACCUAAGCGUUGUACUAAUAAGCGCUAGUUUGGGAAAGCUAGGAGGCUAGCCCCGCGAGCAAUACUCAGCCUGGUCUCAUUGCAUCACCGAUCACUCCUGACAGGUUAGGUACCGCAUUGUUCGUUGUAAGAAAUAUGUUAUUUGUAUUAUGGUCUUACAUAUGCAUGGUUAUUUUUUUAGUGCCUAUCUGUAAUUACUUUAUUAAAGACAAAGAUAAUAAAAUAUAAUGUAAAUUU